rnacentral:rRNA from 1 species
ACUCCUACGGGAGGCAGCAGUGAGGAAUAUUGGACAAUGGGCGGGAGCCUGAUCCAGCCAUGCCGCGUGCAGGAAGACGGUCCUAUGGAUUGUAAACUGCUUUUGUACGGGAAGAACAAGGGGCACGCGUGCCCCCUGACGGUACCGUAAGAAUAAGGAUCGGCUAACUCCGUGCCAGCAGCCGCGGUAAUACGGAGGAUCCGAGCGUUAUCCGGAAUCAUUGGGUUUAAAGGUCCGUAGGCGGGCCGUUAAGUCAGGGGUGAAAGUCUGCGGCUCAACCGUAGAAUUGCCCUUGAUACUGGUGGCCUUGAGUUAUGGUGAAGUAACUAGAAUAUGUAGUGUAGCGGUGAAAUGCAUAGAUAUUACAUAGAAUACCGAUUGCGAAGGCAGGUUACUAACCAUAUACUGACGCUGAUGGACGAAAGCGUGGGUAGCGAACAGGAUUAGAUACCCUGGUAGGUCAGUC